GACAGAGGCCUCGAGCGUUAGGCGGAAUCACUGGGCUUAAAGCGUGUGUAGGCGGGCCCGUAAGUGUCUUGUGAAAUCCCACGGCUCAACCGUGGAACUGCUGGGCAUACUGCGGGUCUUGGGCCAACUAGGGGCAGCCGGAACAAGCGGUGGAGCGGUGAAAUGCGUAGAUAUCGCUUGGAACGCCGAAGGUGAAAACAGGCUGCUGGGGUUGCGCCGACGCUGAGACACGAAAGCCAGGGGAGCAAACGGG
rnacentral:rRNA from 1 species